GUGAAUCAUCGAAUUUUUGAACGCAUAUUGCACUCUCGGGUAUUCCGGAGAGUAUGCCUAUUUGAGGGUCAUUUGAAAUAAUAUAAAUUCCAAGAUUUUUCGGAAUUUAAAAUGGGGUGUCCAUUUUUUGUGGUCGCUUAAAAUAUAAGACAGGAUCAUUUUCUUGGGGUGCGUGAUACUUUCAGUUACCUCGUGAUUUACCCAGGAAUUAUCGGUGGUGUUGUGAAUUUUGGAUGAGAUAAA
rnacentral:misc_RNA from 1 species